CAGUGCAGAGAAUGCACUUUUGUCUAGUGGAGAAAGACUGGGCCUCUGACAGCCAGGAUUUGGAGAGCUGGACAGGCCCUUAGUCACUAGGCUGUGAGCUCCUCAGUGACUGACCCUCAGGCGUCUCUGUAUCCACAGUGCCCACAUCAGGGCCAAGUGCCCGGAGCCCACGGGGCAUGAUUGUUGAAUCCCUUCGAGAAUUCACCUGAUAGGUGUUAAGGAGUACCCACUCUGUGCCGGGCACUCGGCUAGGUGGAGAGUACGACCUCCGCCUCUACAGCAUUUGCAGUCCUUUUGGGAAUUAAAGAAACACGGGGCCAUGUGAGUCCAAACAGGAUGACAACAUGCGUUUUGUGAUACUGACAUACGUUGGAGGAAGUCUCUAAGUGCGGAUUCAGAACCUCAGCCCUCUUCUGGAGCAGAGACGUCCAUGCGUCUAGUAUUUGGGAAACACAACUUUGGAACACUCCAGACUCUGGGAUGAAGUCCUUGCUCCUUAGAGAAGUGUUUGAGGGCCUUGGGCUUGCAUGUGCUCACCUCCCCAGGACAUCACCUCUUUGCAUCCGACAGAUGUGGAGCUUUUCGGACACCACCCA